AGUCUUCAACGGAUCCCUCUGCUUGACAGGAUCAAUACUGCCGUUUGUUCCCUAGUGCAAGUACCUUGGCGUCGUCAUUGAUCGGGAACUAACAUGGUCUCGGAAGAUUACUGCCCUCUGUGCCACUACACGCUCUUACAUUAACGCGCUUCGCCACCUGUGUUGCCUGUUUUGAACGGUAUUUCCCCCUUCAAGGAACGGCAACACUUAAUAUUCAAGCUCGUAGCCUGCGCACUUGCUUGGGUGUCCCGAAGACCACGUAUCGAAAGUCCCAUAGGACCCUGCGUCUUUGGAACGACACCGUGAUAAGAGCGUCAGCGCCAUCCAUCCGUCGCACGAACUACUACAACUGUGAACAAAUGACGACAGAGAGGACGUCGGCAUCAGGUUGCGGAAUGGGUUCACCCAUUCCAUUCCAAUUCUAUUCCGAGGAAUGGAGAUUUGUGAUAACUCCAUUCGUUUCAAGUCCUCGGCAUGGAAAGGCAUACACCAAGCCCGAAGAAGCCGCGAGCGGAUUCCGAAGGGUAACGAUCAUAGUUGAACGACAAGGUUCGGUUAAGCUGCAUCAGAUGUCCGACAGCAUCUACGUGUGAGACCAGCCUUCGUUCGCCGAUUGUCUCUUCAACAGCUGAAGCUUCUCAUGUACUGUAGGCCCUCCUUCUGCGUGGCGGCAUGUGGCCGGAUAUAAGCAUCGCCUGUUGCUUCUCGACUUGCUGGCGCUGGUCCCUCUGAAGAAGGUGGAUCAUCUUAAACACGUUAUGGCAACGUUGGGCCAUGGCAUUAAACCCUGUGG